AUUGAACGCUGGCGGCAGGCCUAACACAUGCAAGUCGAACGAGUAGCGGACGGGUGAGUAAUGUCUGGGAACCUGCCUGAUGGAGGGGGAUAACUACUGGAAACGGUAGCUAAUACCGCAUCCCAUCAGAUGUGCCCAGAUGGGAUUAGCUUGUUGGUGGGGUAACGGCUCACCACGGCGACGAUCCCUAGCUGGUCUGAGAGGAUGAACAGCCACAGGGGAACGUAGAAACGGUCCAGACUCCUACGGGAGGGAGCAGUGGGGAAUAUUGCACAAGGGGCGAAAGCCUGAUGCAGCCAUGCCGCGUGUAUGAAGAAGGCCUUCGGGUUGUAAAGUACUUUCAGCGGGGAGGCGUUACCCGCAGAAGAAGCACCGGCUAACUCCGUGCCAGCAGCCGCGGUAAUAC
rnacentral:rRNA from 1 species